GGCAGCAUGACUCAAAUGGUAGAGUGCCUGCCUUGCAAGCAUAAGGCCCUGAGUUUGAUCUCCAGUACUGUUU
rnacentral:tRNA from 1 species